UCCAAUGCAAGGCUGUAAUAGAAAUAGGCUGGCCUCCUUUCAAUCCUUAAUAGCCAGUGUGCACAGCACAAGGCCAAGAGAUGAUCUGCAGGUGAGCAAUGCAAGAAUUUCGAUGUUAUCAGGUGUGUUUAAGGAGCUGCUGGAACUGAGCUGAAAUGAAUGCAUCCUGCAGCAGACCAAUUUAAACACAUGAUGGAUUUCCAGCUAUCUUGUGCCACCCUGUGUAAGAGAUGGGA
rnacentral:lncRNA from 12 species